rnacentral:lncRNA from 1 species
AUGGGUCCAGCGCUGGGCAGGAGGGAGCCGGCUGCGGUGGGGGAUGGAGCACGUCUGCAGCGCUCGGGGCUUUGGCUCGGCACAUCCCCGGCCUCCCACCUUGGGCUGAGCCUCCAAGGCGCCGGCUCCGGCCCUGGGAACUCCCUUCCGCCGGCCGGAGCCGAUUGCCUCGGGGAGCCGAAACGUGGCGAAUGGAUUUGGCGUUGGCAGCCGGAGAGAGCGGCGGAUCUGGCCGCCUCCGUGCCCACGCGAGGACCCAGCCGGCCCCUCACAGGAGCUGCCGAGGGGCCCCGGGAUGGAUCCUUCCCCUCCCUGCUCCGUGAGGCCUCGGGGCUUAUCUGGCGCUGGUGGCAGCGAGCAGGGGACGCGGUGGCAUUUCCCUGCCCCGUGCUCCUGGGGCGCAUCCGAGCACAGGCAGAGGUGCUGGGAUGUCUCCGUCCGAGGCUCAGCAUCUCUGCCCGCAUCCCGGAGCGGCUCAGCCCCCGAGUGGCACCAGCUCCGGGUCCCCAGGAGGGGCGAGGACCGGGGCCAGCCCCGGGACCUCCCGGCCAAGUGGAGACCCUCAGGGCUCGCCCUGGUGCAGCCCCUCGGCAUGGAGGGGUCCCGGUCCCUGCUCCACGAGGCUCAGAGCAGGCAGGGCCAUCUCGCCAUCUCCCACCCUUCUCCGUCACCUCGUGCAUUGUUUCGUGGUUUGAUUCGCACCCUCGGGCCCUGGCACCCCGUGGGGACACCCCUGGGGACAGCUCGGUGGUGGCGGUCCCUGCCUCCCUGCAGCCACCUAACACACGUGUACAGAUUAACUUAUUACCCGUGCCCCUCCGCCCCUCGGUUUUUACGCUCUCCCCGUUUUGGGGGGGCUGCGGUGUGUGUCGUUGCGGGGCAGGGGAGGCUCUUGGCCCCGGCCCCCGCCGGUUUUGUGCUGCUCCAUAUCACACGUGCAACAUAUCUGGGUUUUGGGGGUGUGGGCUGGGGGGAGGCGCUGCGGGUGGGGGGGCUCGUGUCCGUUUUUGGGGUACACGUCUCGGUGUCGCUUUGUGGCCGCUCAGCUCAGUGUAA